rnacentral:tRNA from 1 species
GGGCGGUUAGCUCAGUUGGUCUAGAGCAUUACGUUGACAUCGUAGGGGUCGGUGGUUCGAAUCCACUACCGCCCACCA